UCCCUGGUAGUAUAUCGGUUAGUACACGCGCCUGUCAUUGCGGUUUCAAGAGCCUUUACGCGCGAAAGCUGGGUUCGACUCCCAGCCAGGGAG